rnacentral:rRNA from 1 species
GUGGGGAAUAUUGCACAAUGGGCGCAAGCCUGAUGCAGCGACGCCGCGUGAGGGAUGACGGCCUUCGGGCUGUAAACCUCUUUCAGCAUCGAAGAAGCGAAAGUGACGGUAGGUGCAGAAGAAGCGCCGGCUACCUACGUGCCAGCAGCCGCGGUAAUACGUAGGGCGCGAGCGUUGUCCGGAAUUAUUGGGCGUAAAGAGCUUGUAGGCGGUUUGUCGCGUCUGCUGUGAAAGCCCGGGGCUUAACCCCGGGUUUGCAGUGGGUACGGGCUAACUAGAGUGCAGUAGGGGAGACUGGAAUUCCUGGUGUAGCGGUGGAAUGCGCAGAUAUCAGGAGGAACACCGAUGGCGAAGGCAGGUCUCUGGGCUGUAACUGACGCUGAGAAGCGAAAGCAUGGGGAGCAAACAGG